rnacentral:rRNA from 1 species
AUGUCGUCCACGUUCGCCGGUGUAUCCGUCCUGGCCGGCGGCGAGCUGUGCCCUUCCACAGAGUCGUCCGUCGUCACCAGCACGGACUGGGGGUACCACCUGCUUGUGGUCCAAGACUACUCGCGUACCAAGCAAGCCACUCCCACCGGCGAGUGGAUCAGCUCUCGUCCUUUCAUGGUAGGAGGCCAUGAAUGGAGCAUCGACUACUAUCCUAACGGCUACACGAAGAGUUGUGCCGACUUCAUUUCUCUAUUUGUUAACCUUCUCGACGAGGAUGCCGAAGAGCCUGUGAAGGCGAAGUUCAAUGUCAGUUUCAUCGACGAGGCGGAGAAGCACAAGCCAAUGUACAUUUCGGAAACUGAAACAUUCGACUUCCGCUCUGAGUCCAUGCUGGGCUACAACAUGUUCAUGGAAAAAGAUGUCCUUGAACAAUCAUCGCAUCUAAUGAAUGAUUGUUUUACCAUCCGGUGUGACAUCAUGGUAUUCAGCUCCAAGGAUGCCGGUGGCGAUAAGGUGCCCCUGCCUGAAAUAGACCAACAUUUAAACAAUCUCCUUCAAACUAAGGUGGGUGCUGAUGUGACAUUCGAGGUCAGCGGCGAGAUGUUCGCUGCGCACCGAUGUGUGCUUGCAGCCCGGUCUAAAGUCUUCAUGGCACAGCUCUUUGGCCCCAUGAAGGAGGGCACUACUACAUCCUGUGUCAUACAGAUCAAAGACAUGGAAGCAAAAGUGUUCAGGGCUCUGCUUAGCUUCAUCUACACAGACUCACUCCCUAAGAUGGAGGAGGACGAAACAGAUGCUGUGGAAGAAGGAGAAGAAGAGGAAGGAACAGAGGAUGAAAUGUCAGAAGUUGCGGAACAAGGACAAAGAGCGAAACCACCAGAGACUGUGCAAUGGCUGCAAGGCUUGCUUGUAGCCGCAGACAGAUAUGAUCUCCAACGGCUCAGGUUUAUCUGCGAAAGGCAGUUGUCCUUGCGCAUAGGUGUGAGCUCGGUGGCGUCUACUCUUGCUCUAGCUGAGCAGCACCACUGCCGCCCAUUGAAGGCGGCAUGCUUGAAGUUUAUCCAAGCCCAAUCUCCGUCGUGUUUGCAGAUAGUAAUGGCGACCGAUGGCUGGGAGCACUUAAUUACGACCUAUCCCUUUGUUUUGAACGAGCUCUUUGCCAUGGUUGCUUUGAACCAGAAGUAA